rnacentral:rRNA from 1 species
CAGCCGCCGCGGUAAUACGUAGGGUGCAAGCGUUAAUCGGAAUUACUGGGCGUAAAGCGUGCGCAGGCGGUUUGUUAAGACAGAUGUGAAAUCCCCGGGCUCAACCUGGGAACUGCAUUUGUGACUGGCAAGCUAGAGUGUGGCAGAGGGGGGUGGAAUUCCGCGUGUAGCAGUGAAAUGCGUAGAUAUGCGGAGGAACACCGAUGGCGAAGGCAGCCCCCUGGGCCAACACUGACGCUCAUGCACGAAAGCGUGGGGAGCAAACAGGAUUAGAUACCCGCGUAGUCCCUGUCUCUUAUAC